rnacentral:lncRNA from 1 species
GGAUUUUAACAAAGUAUUGGCCUCUCAAAGUUCAAUUAAACACAUUAAAGAGUUUAGUUGGAUUUAAUAUGACUUAAUCUUAAAACUUUAAUCAAGGAUUGACUAAUUAAUCAUAGACUAAAUACAUAGUAAAAUAUUAGACGAUCUAGAUCAUUAUAUAGGCACAAACAAGGAUUAAAGAUAAUUUUAAUCGAAAGACUCAAGUUCUUCUUUCAUGAACUGUAGUAGU